rnacentral:lncRNA from 1 species
CGACGUGACUGGCUAGCUGCGUGGGUACUGGAACAAGCAAACGAGGCAGCGAGCGAAGGACGGGAGCCGGACCCUGGGCCCCGUGGAACUCCAGCCUGCGCCACCACGUCACGCACACGCUCGGCGCUGCGAUCCGCGCAUAUAACGAUAUUUGGAUUUGACCUGCAUUUUGGAAUUUAUCUACACUUAAAAUGCCACCAGCAGUUGGAGGUCCAGUUGGAUACACCCCCCCAGAUGGAGGCUGGGGCUGGGCAGUGGUAAUUGGAGCUUUCAUUUCCAUCGGCUUCUCUUAUGCAUUUCCCAAAUCAAUUACUGUCUUCUUCAAAGAGAUUGAAGGUAUAUUCCAUGCCACCACCAGCGAAGUGUCAUGGAUAUCCUCCAUAAUGUUGGCUGUCAUGUAUGGUGGAGGUAAGUACCCAUUAAGGCCUGCUCUUUUAAUUUUCAUGAAGCAG